ACUCCUACGGGAGGCAGCAGUGGGGAAUAUUGCACAAUGGGGAAACCCUGAUGCAGCCAUGCCGCGUGUGUGAAGAAGGCCUUCGGUUGUAAAGCACUUCAGUAGGGAGGAAGGUAGUGUAGUUAACACCUGCACUAUUUGACGUUACCUACAGAAGAAGCACCGGCUAACUCCGUGCCAGCAGCCGCGGUAAUACGGAGGGUGCGAGCGUUAAUCGGAAUUACUGGGCGUAAAGCGCAUGCAGGCGGCCUGUUAAGUCAGAUGUGAAAGCCCGGGGGCUUAACCUCGGAAUUGCAUUUGAAACUGGCAGGCUAGAGUCUUGUAGAGGGGGUAGAAUUUCAGGUGUAGCGGUGAAAUGCGUAGAGAUCUGAAGGAAUACCAGUGGCGAAGGCGGCCCCCUGGACAAAGACUGACGCUCAGAUGCGAAAGCGUGGGGAGCAAACAGGAUUAGAUACCCUGGUAGGAUAGCG
rnacentral:rRNA from 1 species